UACGAAGGGGGCUAGCGUUGCUCGGAAUCACUGGGCGUAAAGCGCACGUAGGCGGAUUGCUAAGUCAGGGGUGAAAUCCUGGAGCUCAACUCCAGAACUGCCUUCGAUACUGGCGAUCUCGAGUCCGGAAGAGGUGAGUGGAACUCCUAGUGUAGAGGUGGAAUUCGUAGAUAUUAGGAAGAACACCAGUGGCGAAGGCGGCUCACUGGUCCGGUACUGACGCUGAUGUGCGAAAGCGUGGGGAGCAAACAGG
rnacentral:rRNA from 1 species